UAUUAAAAAAUUCAUCCACUUCUACUGUUAUAAUUUGGUAUAGUUAACAGAAUAACCAGAUAAUUACAUGUGAUGUGUCAUGUUACCUUAUGUUGACAUAUAUAGACCAAUUUUUAGCAGUAGAAAUAUAUGAAAUUUUUACUA
rfam:Gossypium arboreum cultivar AKA8401 contig_16372_3, whole genome shotgun sequence.